rnacentral:rRNA from 1 species
GACGAACGCUGGCGGCGUGGAUUAGGCAUGCAAGUCGAACGGUAGGGACCUUUCGGGGUUCUGAGAGUGGCGAACGGGUGAGUAACACGUAGGUUAUCUACCCUCAAAUUGGGGACAACCCAGGGAAACUUGGGCUAAUACCGAAUGAGUGCAGUUUUAGGAUUGCAUAAAAGAUGGCGUAAGCUGUUGUUUGAGGAUGAGCCUGCGCUCUAUUAGUUAGUCGGUGAGGUAACGGCUCACCAAGGCGAUGAUAGAUAGGCGGCCUUAACGGGUGGUCGCCCACACUGGGAUUGAGAUACGGCCCAGACUCCUACGGGAGGCAGCAGUCGAGAAUAGUCUACAAUGGACGAAAGUCUGAUAGUGCGACGCCGCGUGAACGAUGAAUCCCUUCGGGGUGUAAAGUUCUUUUAUAUGUGAGCAAUGCCUUAUAUGUGAAUAGCAUGUAGGGAGAGAUAUUAGCAUAUGAAUAAGCAACGGCUAACUCCGUGCCAGCA